CUGAAAGGAGACUUUAGAGAAGAGCUGACAGAAGAGAUUCAUUCUAGGAUCUCUCCAUUCUCACCACACCAUGGACAAGGCAGGAAGCUUAGAUCUCAGACAAAUUAGAUAAAAAAUGAAUUUAUAGCAGAUACGUGUCCUAAGGCAUUCAGCUGAAUGUUUGGGUUUUAGGGAAGGAAGGAUAGCUAGUUCCAUGUGCAACAUUCAGUAUUGGAUGAUCUGGAUUCAGUACAGAAAGCCUGGACUUUUGAGCCUAAACAGGAUCUGAAGCAGAAGGAUGAAAAACAGAUCAACCAACAACAAGAAUCAACCAUCUUGGUUUCUCAUUUGUCAAUAAUGGGCAAUAGUCCUGCCCACAUAUCAGGGAAUGUAUAUGCCAUAAUUAAAUACUAAUGCUUCUAUCUUCUCUAGAGAAUUUGUUCCUUUAUGUGAAAAAUAUUAUUUCUUCUUAAUAAGCAAUGUAUGACAAUUGAGGAGGCAUAAAAAUUAGAGAAAAAUAAAAAGGAAAAUGUCUGUAGUUGCACAUUAUAUCAUAAGUAAUCUGCAUUUUAUUGUUUUUGUGAUACUCUAGAAAUGGAUAUGUUUUAGUAAACCUAAUUUAACUCAUUAAUCCAUCUGGAAUUUCCUUUGUAAUAUUUUAUAAAAUGUGAAUCGAGACUGAUAAAUGUUCUAAAUAGUCAAAUUUGCUAAACCUUUUAUAAACUGUUUUCCUUUA
rnacentral:lncRNA from 10 species